AAAGUUGUGUUGUGGACUCGAGUACCACUGAUUACACGUUGUAUCUGGUUGCACUGAUUUAGUGAAAACUGUUUUAGAGCAUCUCCAAGGGUGAUCCCUAUUUUAAAUCCCUAAAAUAUAGUAAAAUAAUGGUUACCUAAAAUAUAGGUGAUGGGGGGGCGAGGGUGGGUCCUAGGUGGGUGAUGACAUAUAGGGGGUGGGUGAUGACUUAUAGGGGGUGGGUGAUGUCGUUUAGGUAUAGUUUCUCUUAGUUUGUAUUUUAGUUUUUAUUUUAGUGGUUUGUAUUUGAAAAUUUGCUUAUAUAUAUAUAUCGAGAGGGAGUGGGGGGCAGACACAAGUCACACUACAGUCUGUGCUAUUCUAUUUUUUUGAUGGAGUUUCUUGUUCCUUUUCUUGCAGGUUUUAACAGAAUACAUUCUUGUUUCCGUAACUAGUGCAGUUACAGUGACUAUAGCAGGAGUUGUCAAGGAAGUAGUCACUAUAUUGGUAUGAAUUGUACUAGUUGGUUCAGCAUUUUUAAGAACUCAUGAAUAAAUGCUGUUGGGAAAUUAUUUUUAGCACAUAAAUAUUAAGAAACGUAUCCAUGAUGCAAAUAGCAUUGAAGACCUGCAUCAGGAAUUAAAAUACCAACGGCUGCAAAUAAUUUUAAUCUUAUUUAACUUUUUAUAUAAUGUCAGAGUAGAAGUUAAAACAUUUUAACAUGCUAAAAAGUAAAUUGCAUAAAGAAAUUGGGAGCUUUAUUUGUGCUGUCUUUUAAAAUUGUAAAUUGGGUCUGGAUGGUACUUCAACCUUCAAUUGCCUUCUCAAGAAGUGUUUUUGUCAGUUCAAUUUAAAGUUACAUGUUCCUUGGCUAGGUUAGAACAAUGCUUCUAUUCUGAUCUAGAUAGGAAAAAAUGUAAAAAUAUAUCCCCAUUCUGAAGUAACAUACCUACUGAGCUUCUGGAAAUUGUUGCAUUACUUUCCUUGUCAUUCAAAAUAUAUAUUAUAAAAAAAAUAUAUUAUUAUGCCGAUGGGUGAUUAGUGCAAGGCAUCUAUUCUGUAAAGCAUUUAUAUUCUUUAUCAUGAAAGAUUCUUUCCAUCAGCAACAUUCCACUAAUUACUUAAUAUCGAUUCUGACCAAAUUUUGAAUUGCUCAUCAGGUUGCUGUAAUAUACUUCCACGAUGAGUUUACAUGGAUGAAAGGGUGUGGUCUCAUCAUCAUUAUAAUUGGUGUCAGUUUAUUUAAUUGGUACAAGUAAGUUAUCAGACAUUCUAUAUUAUUCAGAAAGUUUGUACUUUAUGUGCCUCUUAAAUUUAGGCCUUAUUUUUAAUGUGUUCAAAUAUAUGGAAUUCUCAGUUUUCAUUUAGUAAAACAUGUUUAGCUUUUCUGGUAAAACCAUGUUUUGUGUGUUAAGAUACGUGCUUGACAAGAUUAAGAAACAAAAUGCUGUUGGUUGAUGUAUUAUUAAGCAUUAAGCGUUAUUGUGGAGAAAACAGAACAAAAAUAAAAACCUCUUUCUGCUUCCUACAAAGUCUCAACUUGCUGUUAUGAUACCUCAAAUUACUCUUACUCCUUAUUAGGCUCCCUGCUGAUACCAACUACUUACGAAGCCUUGAUAAAGUUUGGAGUGAACACAGCUUUUAUCUCAUUGCGAGCAAUAUAUAGUGUGGCAUACUAGUUACGCUCAAAAGAAUCUAUUUGUCUAAUCGUGGCUAAGCCUGUUGUGAACUUCCUCUCAGGGAUCUGUGAUAGACAAUCAAAGCUAAAAUCAGUGUAGUAUAUUAAAUCUUUAUAUAGAAUUAAAUCUUUAUAUAUAAUUUUAAUUGAUAUACAAUCAUAUAACUUGCAUGAGCAACAACUUCUAUACACCUGCCAUAAUUUUGUGCUAUUUGUUAAGUUUGAACGAUAAUUUAGUCCUGUUCCUGUUGGACUUGAAAAUCUGUCACCCAGUUCUUAUAGAUAGAGUAGCAAUGGACCUGUAAUGUCAUGUGACAUGGUUCUGAAGCAAAAGUCUAAGAUGUUGAAGUAAUGUAUAGACCAGCACCUCCAAUUUUAUUCAAAACUUGCAACUAGAGUGAUUCAUUUUUUUUGACUGAAACCAUCAUACCCGUUUAAAAUCAAUUGAUCCUACUCCAUUCUUAUGGAACAUGGAGCCUAGUUCAUCUGAGUGUGAUGCUGAAUCAAGUUGUUGUAUUCCAUGUUGUUUCAGCUAGUCUACUGACUACUAUUAUUUCAUUCUAGUAGGUGUUGAUUUUAUUAUAAACUAGUGGUGCAUCUUUGAAACUUUUAAGUUGCAAGCAAUAAAUAAUGUGUUUCUGUGCUUUUCUGAUUAUGCAGAUACCAAAAGCUACAAAAGGGAGAAUCAAGUGAGGAUGACAUGUCAGGGUCUUUGAGGACUAAUGUACCUGCAAAAUAUGUUAUUCUUGAGGAGAAUGAUGAUCAAGAUGCUGGGAUUUGAAUACUUGAAUUGCUUGUCUUGAGUUUAUUAAACUUGUAAGUUGCUUUGUCCUUAAUUGUAGAUACACAAGUGUUCCUUUGUCACAGGCACAUUCACAGCCACAUAUGUUGUCAAAAUCACUACCACACACCUGAUCUUUUACAUAGAUCACAAUCUUAAUCCCCAUGUCCAUCAUGUUGUAUAUUAUUAUGACCUUUUGAUGUGAUCACCUUUGACUACUGUGACAGCACUGUCACUAGAACUAAUAGACAGAAUUAUUGAUGUACUUGAUAAAUUUUGGAGAUAUGAAAGCAACCAAUUUAAAAUUUUGAAAUGAAAUGAAUAUACUACUUUAAUAUUAGUAAUGGAUCAAUAUAAUUUUUAAAUUUCUUUAAUAUUUAUUCUCUAAUUGCAAAACACUACUCGUUUAUUAUGCUCAUGGAAUCAUUACUGAAGUUGAUAUUUCUUUGUGGAUAUCUUGCAUUUGAUUCUGGAAGUGGAGAUGAAGAGGUAAACAAUAUUUAUUAUAAUCAAUUAUCAAACAACAUAUUUUGUAAUUUAAUUUGAUGAGACAAUUUGAGAAGUACUGUCAGGCGACUCUCAAGCCUAGAAGUCCAAACCGAAGAUUAGUAUUUGCUUAAGGAUCAAUGCUAUUGCAUGUAUACUAUGGAACUCGCGAGGAGAUUACAUGUUAGAUCUUCAUUGUCUACCACACUACUUCAAAAUUACUCAUGUAGAUAAAUAUAAUGUGUGUGCAUUAGAUCAGUCUAGACCAAAUUAUUUUGAAGCAGUGCUAAACAUUAAAGUUGUGUUGUGGACUCGAGUACCACUGAUUACACGUUGUAUCUGGUUGCACUGAUUUAGUGAAAACUGUUUUAGAGCAUCUCCAAGGGUGAUCCCUAUUUUAAAUCCCUAAAAUAUAGUAAAAUAAUGGUUACCUAAAAUAUAGGUGAUGAAAAAGUUAGUUUAUUCCAAUGGUAUCCCAUAAAUUAGUUCCCUAUAUAUUAAAAAUAAUAUUUAACUAGUAAAUAUAGAAAAUGAUUGGCA
rnacentral:lncRNA from 1 species